rnacentral:rRNA from 1 species
AGUGAACGCUGGCGGUAGGCCUAACACAUGCAAGUCGAACGGCAGCACAGGAGAGCUUGCUCUCUGGGUGGCGAGUGGCGGACGGGUGAGGAAUACAUCGGAAUCUGCCCAGUCGUGGGGGAUAACGUAGGGAAACUUACGCUAAUACCGCAUACGACCUUCGGGUGAAAGAGGGGGAUCGCAAGACCUCUCGCGAUUGGAUGAGCCGAUGUCGGAUUAGCUAGUUGGCGGGGUAAUGGCCCACCAAGGCGACGAUCCGUAGCUGGUCUGAGAGGAUGAUCAGCCACACUGGAACUGAGACACGGUCCAGACUCCUACGGGAGGCAGCAGUGGGGAAUAUUGGACAUUGGGCGCAAGCCUGAUCCAGCCAUACCGCGUGGGUGAAGAAGGCCUUCGGGUUGUAAAGCCCUUUUGUUGGGAAAGAAAUCUUUCAGGCUAAUACCCUGGGAGGAUGACGGUACCCAAAGAAUAAGCACCGGCUAACUUCGUG